CACAGCGCAGGAGGGACAGGAGGCUUUUAGUAAAAGUGCCAGUCACCAGGGGCUGCUGAUACCAUCGCACACCAGGCACAGUGGAUUGAAGAGGGGGGCAGUGCUGAGUCAUUCACGUGGUGUGUGAGGGCUCCUGUUUGUAAAUCAGGGAUUCUUGCAGCCUGCUUUUUCAGGGACAUUGGCUGCUGUCUUCUGACCCACCCUGUGUGGCUUUGGCGUCUCCUGUGACCUCCCAGUAUGGGUCUUGGCCUCAUCCUGCCUCUUUGUCUUUCUGGCCCACCACCCACAGCUUGAAUCUCAGGCUCCAACAGUUGCCUGACCCCCAGAUUCUGAUGACAGCCUACCUACUUGUUCUUCAGGCCCUCACCAGACUCACUGCCCAGACACACCACACAGGAGAACAUGAAAGGGUGAAUGAAUCUUUCAUCAUUUGAUGACCAAGUUGGCAUUCUUUUACAUUCCAGCCACCAGAGGAAGGUGUAUUUUAACACAAUUGCCCUCACAUCCUCCUUAACAGGAUUUACAUAAGUUUAUUAACACAUAUGUUUCUACAAAAUCAAGUUUUGAGAACCAUUUUUAUACACUGAUCUGGGACAUUUUGGGGAUAUGAAAUUAACUUUAGCACACACAGCAAGAAGAAAACCGAACAACAAAUUCUACAAACACCAAAUUUGCUGUGAAAUUUACAUUUCAGAAUCUCUCAAGAAAUAGUGCCCAGCAGCAAUUCUUACUGUUUUCACUUUUUCCCCCGUCUUCACAUUUUUAUGUUUGACAGUGCCAACAUAUUUUCUCAACAUUUAUUCUGAAAGGAAUGUACUUUGUGAAUUCCUUAAAUGCAGGAUGAUUCUGAUUUUAUUGGCCUAAUAGCUCCUCCUUAUGCGUGGGUUAGUAUAACAGAAUGCAUUUGAGACCUGCUAUACUAUUUUAAAUUAAGACAUUUCAUGUAGCACAUAGUAUUUUAAAAUGAAGAACAUUGUCUUGGAAAGCA
rnacentral:lncRNA from 1 species